GACAGGAGUGCCGUAGCGUUAGGCGGAAUCAGCUGGGCUUAAAGCGUGUGUAGGCGGUAUUUGUAAAGUACCUUGUGAAAUCCCACGGCUCAACCGUGGAACUGCUUGGUAUACUGCUUAUCUUGAGCCACUUAGGGGCAACCGGAACAAACGGUGGAGCGGUGAAAUGCGUAGAUAUCGUUUGGAACGCCAAAGGUGAAAACAGACAGCCUGGGAGUGUGCUGACGCUGAGACACGAAAGCCAGGGGAGGCGAAACGGG
rnacentral:rRNA from 1 species